GACGAACGCUGGCGGCGUGCUUAACACAUGCAAGUCGAACGGAAAGGCCCCCAUCUUGGUGGGGGUGCUCGAGUGGCGAACGGGUGAGUAACACGUGGGUGAUCUGCCCUGUACUUCGGGAUAAGCUUGGGAAACUGGGUCUAAUACCGGAUAGGACCAUGUUUUAGUGUCUCAUGGUGGAAAGAUUAUUGUUUUGGUGCAGGAUGAGCUCGCGGCCUAUCAGCUUGUUGGUGGUGUAAUGGCCUACCAAGGCGUCGACGGGUAGCCGGCCUGAGAGGGUGGACGGCCAGAUUGGGACUGAGAUACGGCCCAGACUCCUACGGGAGGCAGCAGGGGGGAAUAUGGCACAAUGGGCGCAAGACUGAUGCAGCGACGCCGCGUGGGGGAUGACGGCCUUCGGGUUGUAAACUCCUUUCGUUAGGGACGAAGCCGCACUUUUUUUGGGUGUGGUGACGGUACCUUUGUUAAGAAGCACCGGCUAACUACGUG
rnacentral:rRNA from 1 species